rnacentral:rRNA from 1 species
UGGCUCAGGACGAACGCUGGCGGCGUGCUUAACACAUGCAAGUCGAGCGGAAAGGCCACUUCGGUGGUACUCGAGCGGCGAACGGGUGAGUAACACGUGAGUAAUCUGCCCUCCACUUUGGGAUAGCCACCGGAAACGGUGAUUAAUACCGGAUAUGACCUGGUGCCGCAUGGUGCUUGGUGGAAAGUUUUUCGGUGGGGGAUGUGCUCGCGGCCUAUCAGCUUGAUGGUGGGGUAAUGGCCUACCAUGGCUUCGACGGGUAGCCGGCCUGAGAGGGUGACCGGCCACACUGGGACUGAGACACGGCCCAGACUCCUACGGGAGGCAGCAGUGGGGAAUAUUGGACAAUGGGCGGAAGCCUGAUCCAGCAACGCCGCGUGAGGGAUGACGGCCUUCGGGUUGUAAACCUCUUUCGCCUGCGAC